rnacentral:lncRNA from 1 species
CUACUUCUCGCCAACUGGCCGACUUGCUCACCAAGCCCCUGCCUGGCACUUUACUUCUUCCGCUGCUCACCAAGUUGCAGGUGGUUUCCCCCUCCAACUUGGGGGGGGUGUUGAGAUAAGAGAUGCUAUAUGAUUUAGCUUUGUAUAUACUUGUACAUUUUGUUAUACUCAGUGUAUAUUGUAAGUAUAUUUUUGGUAUAUUUCCGGCAUUGGGUUGUAACUGGGCUGUGAUGAUUUGUGUGUCUGAGCCCAAUGUCCAUUAUUUAAUUUUGGGCCGGAUGACCCGAUCCGACCGUCCGUGUGUAAUAAGUAUAUGUAUGUAGGUGAGAUAUUUUCUCAGCUACCGAGACUCAUUUUCUUCCAUUCAUUUUCUGUUCUCUCACCUUCCAGAGAAUUCUAAAAGCUCUGCCUUCUCUCUACUUUCUCUCUCUAG